rnacentral:lncRNA from 1 species
AUGAUGUGUCUUGCUGUGGGUCUAUUUGGGUUCAAUUUGUUUGGGUCCCUCUGUGCUUCCUGUAUCCUGAACUCAAUAUCCUUUAGAUUUGGGAAAUUUCCAGCGAUAAUUUCUUCAAAUAUAUUUUCCAUCCCCUUAUCUUUUUCUACUCCUUCUGGAAUUCCUAUUAUGCAUAGAUUGGCCCGCUUUAUAUUAUCCCAUAGGUCUCUUAUAUUGCUUUCAUGUGUUUUCAUUUGGUUUUCUCUCUGCUGUUCUAAUUGGGUGAUUUCCAUUAUUCUAUCUUCCAUAUCACUGAUUCGUUCUUCUGCAUUAUUCAUUCUGGUUUUUACUGUCCUUAGUUCAGUUUGUAUCUCUGCAAAUGAAUGUUCUAGUUUUUCUUGGCUCCUCCUUAUAUUUUCUAGUUCCUUUCUGAGGGUGUCUGAAUUACUGUUCAUAUCUUCUCUUAAUUCCUUCAGUAUCUUCACUGUUUCUCUUUUGAAGUCCAGGUCUGUCAGACUGCAGAGAUCUGUUUCAUUGUUGACUGCUUUAGGUGAGUUCUCCUGUUGGUUUAACUGGGGGUGGUUUCUCAGCUUCUUCAUCUUUCUUGUUGUUGUCUUUAUCCUGGUGGAGUUGUACUCUCCGUGGCUGGGCAGUGUUUGCCUUGUCACUGACAUGGAAUGUUUCCUGAGCACUGGCAUUGUUAGUCAGUCUUUUUUGAGGCAGUGUGGCUUUUCUGGAGUGUUGGCGGAGUUAACAGGGUCUCUCUUAAGCAAAGGAGGACUUCCUGAGGGCAGACAGGACUGGGAGAUCCACACCACGAUGGGAGCAGAUUUCACUUGGUCAUGCAGAGCUUGCUCUGGUGUUUUUGGGCUGUGGGGUUCUUGCAGGGGGUUGGCGGUGUUGGGCAGCUGUUCCUCAGGAGUGCAGCGCCCCCCCCCCAGGGUUGGAGCAGCUAGCUGGGUCCCUGAGAACCUAAGAGGCUCUUCCCCAGGGCCGCCUGAUUCGGAAGGACUGUCUGAGAAUGUAGGCAGGUCUUUACACGGCCAGGCCAAGCUUGUUCUAGCUUUUCUGGGCUUCAGGGGCUCUUGCAGGGGGCUGGCAGUGCUGGGCAGCUUUUCUGCAGGAGUGCAGCACCCCCCGAGGGAUGGAGCGGCUAGCUGGGCCACUACGAACCCAAGAGGCUCUUCCCCAGGGCAGCCUGACUCAGAAGGACUGUCCAAGAAUUAG